UUUUUUUUUCAAUACUAAAAAUUUAUUUUUCCUUUAAUUACAGUACAUUUUAGUAUUUAACACCUCACUCUAAUAAUACACUCUGUAAACACUUUAUGAGUUAUUCAAUGCAUUGAAUGAAUGAUUUUUCCUUCUACAACACAUGUAAUGCAACAUAGACACACAAACCUACAAUAAACAAUAAUUCAUGGCAACAAGUUUCUAGUUUAUAAUAGGACUGGUCUACCCAUAAUGCUUUAGUUGUUGUAAUGCUCUAUCUCCCAUCAUCCUCACUAGGUUUUGGGCUUGUAGUACACCUCUCAAUAACUUCUAAACUCUUUAGCAAACUUUGAAGUUCAGGGAGUAGAGUGUGUAAUAAAUUACUCUAAAGAUUUUCAAUACCUUAGUUUUGUAGGCACCAGAUAUAGAUUUAUAUAUGCAUAUAUGUAUAUAAUAUAUGUAUAUAAUUUUUUUUUUUU